rnacentral:rRNA from 1 species
GACGAACGCUGGCGGCGUGCUUAACACAUGCAAGUCGAACGAAGAGCGAUGGAAGCUUGCUUCUAUCAAUCUUAGUGGCGAACGGGUGAGUAACGCGUAAUCAACCUGCCCUUCAGAGGGGGACAACAGUUGGAAACGACUGCUAAUACCGCAUACGAUCUAAUCUCGGCAUCGAGGAUAGAUGAAAGGUGGCCUCUACAUGUAAGCUAUCACUGAAGGAGGGGAUUGCGUCUGAUUAGCUAGUUGGAGGGGUAACGGCCCACCAAGGCGAUGAUCAGUAGCCGGUCUGAGAGGAUGAACGGCCACAUUGGGACUGAGACACGGCCCAGACUCCUACGGGAGGCAGCAGUGGGGAAUCUUCCGCAAUGGACGAAAGUCUGACGGAGCAACGCCGCGUGAGUGAUGACGGCCUUCGGGUUGUAAAGCUCGGUUAAUCGGGACGAAAGGCCUUCUUGCGAAUAGUGAGAGGGAUUGACGGUACCGGAAUAGAAAGCCACGGCUAACUACGUG